rnacentral:rRNA from 1 species
GAAACGGCUACCACAUCCAAGGAAGGCAGCAGGCGCGCAAAUUACCCACUUCCAGAACGGAGAGGUAGUGACGAAAAAUAACGAGACAGUCCUCUUCGAGGUCUGUCAUCGGAAUGGGUACAAUUUAAAUCCUUUAACGAGGAUCUAUUGGAGGGCAAGUCUGGUGCCAGCAGCCGCGGUAAUUCCAGCUCCAAUAGCGUAUAUUAAAGUUGUUGCGGUUAAAACGCUCGUAGUUGGAUCUGCGGCCUCGGAGAACGGUCCCCCGAAAGGGUGGUCACUGUCUCUCCUAGCCUAAAUUCGAGUCGUCUCUAGGUGCUCUUUACCGAGUGCUUAGAGUGACUAGAACGUUUACUUUGAAAAAAUUAGAGUGCUUGAAGCAGGCGAAAUAGCCUGAAUAAGGUGCAUGGAAUAAUGGAAUAGGACCUCGGUUCUAUUUUGUUGGUUUUCGGAACCCGAGGUAAUGAUUAAGAGGAACAGACGGGGGCAUUCGUAUUCCGGCGCUAGAGGUGAAAUUCUUGGACCGCCGGAAGACGGACGACUGCGAAAGCAUUUGCCCAAGAAUGUUUUCAUUAAUCAAGAACGAAAGUUAGAGGUUCGAAGGCGAUCAGAUACCGCCCUAGUUCUAACCGUAAACGAUGACAACCAGCGAUUAAUCGGCGUUAAUAUAUGACCCGGUUAGCAGCUUCCGGGAAACCAAAGUUUUUCGUUUCCGGGGGAAGUAUGGUUGCAAAGCUGAAACUUAAAGGAAUUGACGGAAGGGCACCACCAGGAGUGGAGCCUGCGGCUUAAUUUGACUCAACACGGGAAAACUCACCCGGCCCGGACACCGUAAGGAUUGACAGACUGAGAGCUCUUUCUUAAUUCGGUGGGUGGUGGUGCAUGGCCGUUCUUAGUUGGUGGAGCGAUUUGUCUGGUUAAUUCCGAUAACGAACGAGACUCUGGCCUAUUAAAUAGACGGUAUAUUUAAAAGUAUAUCGCACUUCUUAGAGGGACAAGCGGCGUCUAGCCGUAUGAAAUAGAGCAAUAACAGGUCUGUGAUGCCCUUAGAUGUCCGGGGCUGCACGCGCGCUACACUGAAAGAAUCAGUGGGCGUUAUACCUAGUUCGGAAGAACCGGGUAACCCAAGUAAAUUCUUUCGUGCUUGGGAUAGGGAAUUGCAAUUAUUUCCCUUAAACGAGGAAUUCCCAGUAAAUGCGGGUCAUAAGCUCGCGUUGAUUACGUCCCUGCCCUUUGUACACACCGCCCGUCGCUACUACCGAUUGGAUGACUUAGUGAGGUCUUAGGACCGAGGUAAAGGUGCCCGCAAGGAUGCUUUUGCUUUGGAAAUUUGAUCGAACUACGUUAUCUAGAGGAAGU